rnacentral:rRNA from 1 species
CGGGACGGGGUGGAGUAAUGUCUGGGAAACUGCCUGAUGGAGGGGGAUAACUACUGGAAACGGUAGCUAAUACCGCAUAACGUCGCAAGACCAAAGAGGGGGACCUUCGGGGCCUCUUGCCAUCGGAUGUGCCCAGAUGGGAUUAGCUAGUAGGUGGGGUAACGGCUCACCUAGGCGACGAUCCCUAGCUGGUCUGAGAGGAUGACCAGCCACACUGGAACUGAGACACGGUCCAG